rnacentral:tRNA from 1 species
UCCGAUAUGGUGUAGUGGCCAACAUGAUGCCCUCUCAUGAUUGAGAGGCUAGGCAUAGCCCCGAGUUCGAUUCUCGGUUUCGGAA